rnacentral:lncRNA from 1 species
CAUCAACGAGCAACACCUCAAACCAGCACUACGUUUCUAGUCCUCUCUCCCUCCCUCGUUUACCAUUCUCUAUUUUUUGAGCUUCUUCGUCCCGUGGGAAUGUUGUACAGGUUCAAGAGUGCCGUCUCAUCCCCGGUUGUGCUGAGUCCUGACCAUGUAGUCUACAUCGAUCGCCCCGCCACAAUUUUCAUUACAGUCAUCUCUUGAAUUCGUUUUUGUCGCUUGAAUUGUGCUAUAUUUAUAUUUUUGCAGCAUAUAUAUCUUCUCUGGAUGUGUCUGGAUAUUGAUUGGUGUGUUCUCUACCAAGUACUGACCCACUGGGCAAAUUAACUUUUCUAUUUUACCUGUUUUCUUUCGCUGAAUUUUCCACAGGUGCUGCAGCGCAUCCAAGUAAGUUUGCUAUUUUUCAACUUUACUUGGACGACCGGGAAUUGCUCCAUGUACUGUUCUAUUUUCUGAUGAACUAAGCACAAAGCUUUUAUACUCUUGUAUUUUGUUACCAAGUGAUCUGUGCUUAGGCUAAUCAUUUCAAAUGGCGUCUGACCCGCUUUUGUUUACAAAUUUCCCCAAAUAAGUGAGUAUGACAUAGGACUCGCAUGCCAUUAAAUUUAUUUAGUGU